rnacentral:rRNA from 1 species
UACGUAGGGGGCGAGCGUUGUCCGGAAUUACUGGGCGUAAAGCGCAUGUAGGCGGGCGACUAAGUCAGGGGUGAAAACCGUGGGCUCAACCUACGGCUUGCCCUUGAUACUGGUCGUCUUGAGUACAGGAGAGGGAGGCGGAAUUCCCGGUGUAGCGGUGAAAUGCGUAGAUAUCGGGAGGAAGGCCGGUGGCGAAGGCGGCCCUCUGGGCCUGCACUGACGCUGAGGCGCGAAAGCGUGGGGAGCAAACAGG